UAACACAGGUGCUGCAUGGCUGUCGUCAGCUCGUGUCGUGAGAUGUUGGGUUAAGUCCCGCAACGAGCGCAACCCUUGUCAUUAGUUGCUACAUUUAGUUGGGCACUCUAAUGAGACUGCCGGUGACAAACCGGAGGAAGGUGGGGAUGACGUCAAGUCCUCAUGGCCCUUAUAGGUAGGGCUACACACGUCAUACAAUGGAUGGUACAAAGGGUCGCCAACCCGCGAGGGGGAGCCAAUCCCAUAAACCAUUCGUAGUCCGGAUCGCAGUCUGCAACUCGACUGCGUGAAGUCGGAAUCGCUAGUAAUCGUGGAUCAGAAUGUCACGGUGAAUACGUUCCCGGGUCUU
rnacentral:rRNA from 1 species